UACUAAAUGAUAUUUAUUUCACUAUAUCCCAUGUGCUCUGACUCUGAGGCUUCAAGGUUUGAAGGGGGCUAAACAUGAAAUACAAGUUCCCCUGGAAUUCAGACUGGUUGAAUCCAAGCAGUUUCACUGGCCAAGAAAACCUUUGUUUUGGCCGGGCACAGUGGUUCACGCCUGAAAUCCCAGCACUUUGGAAGGCUGAGGCGGGUGGAUCUCCUGAGGUAAGGAGUUUGAGACCAUCCUGGCCAGCAAGGUGAAACUCUGUCUCUACUAAAAAUACAAAAAUCAGCCCGGCAUGGUGGCGGGUGCCUGUAAUCCCAGCUACUCAGGAGGCUGAGGCAGGAGGAUCACUUGAACCCAGGAGGCAGAGGUUGCAGUGAGCUGAGAUCGCACCACUGCCCUCCCAGCCUGGGCAACAGAAUAAAUGAGACUCCGUCUCCAAAAAAACAAGAAAAAGAAAAGAAAGAAAGAAAACCUCCUUUAUGUUUUAAAUAUUACUGUUUUCCCAAAGGAAAAAAGUUUGUAACUUUUGGAACAUAAUGACAUUGUCAAACUCAUGAACUCAGCUCUAAAAAGAAGGCAACAUAAGCCAGGGUUCAGAUUCUUCUUGAGCUGGGUAAAAAUACAACACUUUCAGUUUAAGAGAAACUAAAAACAAAGAAAACAAUUAAGUACAUUGUUUCAAUUUAACUGAUAAAAUUUCAAUGGUAACAACCAGUAGCACCAACUAUCACAACCCAUUCAAUAAUCUACUCCUAACACCCUUUUAACAAUUAUUAUUCCUGACUAAUGGCCCAGGCAUAUCCAAUUUUUCUUUUCUAUCUCCUCCCUGGACAACUUGAAGCAGACAUUUGAAUCUGCAUUUUCAAAAUGAACGUUCCAACAUAUGCGAGCCUGCAAUGAAAAAUUACACUGUAGCAUUUAAUAACUAAUCUAAAAAACAAAUGUAACAGCAAUCAAUAUUAAACUCCUGUUAAUCUUCCCACUUCAGGUAGCAUAAUUACAAUCUAGAGAGUGGUAUAGUACAUUUAUGCUGUCUUUAAAGAACAUGUGUACAAAAUGUCACUAAAUUUGAUAUGGGCUGUCAUAGACAAUAUAGCUUCAUAUGCAAAUUUGAAGCUGGAGCACUGCUUUUUUCUAAUAUGUAUUAUAAUAAUGGUGAUAAUAAUAAAAUGGCUUUAUGGUUUGCUCACUACUAAUUACAUGGCACUUAACAUUUGCAUGAAUUUUUUUUAAAAAACUGAUAACUAUUCUCAAUUUCUUAUCCACUAGUUCUAAUGGCCAUAAAAGUAGCCUGCCACUUUCGCUGAAUUUUAACACAAACUCUUGUACUACAGAAAAUGUAGGCCGGUUAAUCACUCCUGCCAAAAAGCUUGAAGAUACAAUACGUCUUGCUGAACUAGUCAUUGAAGUUCUUCAGCAAAAUGAGGAGCACCAUGCAGAGGCCUUUGCGUGGUGGUCAGAUUUAAUGGUGGAGCAUGCGGAGACGUUCCUGUCACUCUUUGCAGUAGACAUGGAUGCAGCCUUAGAGGUGCAACCUCCAGACACAUGGGACAGUUUUCCACUAUUUCAGCUGCUGAAUGAUUUUCUCCGUACUGACUAUAAUUUGUGCAAUGGAAAAUUUCACAAACACCUGCAAGACCUGUUUGCCCCACUUGUUGUUAGAUAUGUGGAUCUGAUGGAGUCCUCAAUUGCACAAUCCAUUCACAGGGGCUUUGAGCGGGAGUCAUGGGAACCAGUCAAUAAUGGGUCAGGCACCUCAGAAGAUCUGUUUUGGAAACUUGACGCCCUUCAGACCUUCAUUCGGGACCUGCACUGGCCUGAAGAAGAGUUUGGAAAGCACCUGGAACAACGGCUGAAGUUGAUGGCAAGUGACAUGAUCGAAUCUUGUGUCAAAAGAACCAGGAUUGCAUUUGAAGUUAAGCUGCAAAAAACCAGUCGAUCAACAGAUUUUCGAGUCCCACAGUCAAUAUGCACCAUGUUUAAUGUUAUGGUUGAUGCCAAAGCUCAAUCAACAAAACUUUGCAGCAUGGAAAUGGGCCAAGAG
rnacentral:sRNA from 1 species